ACGAACGCUGGCGGCGUGCCUAAUACAUGCAAGUCGAACGCUUCUUUUUCCACCGGAGCUUGCUCCACCGGAAAAAGAGGAGUGGCGAACGGGUGAGUAACACGUGGGUAACCUGCCCAUCAGAAGGGGAUAACACUUGGAAACAGGUGCUAAUACCGUAUAACAAUCGAAACCGCAUGGUUUUGAUUUGAAAGGCGCUUUCGGGUGUCGCUGAUGGAUGGACCCGCGGUGCAUUAGCUAGUUGGUGAGGUAACGGCUCACCAAGGCGACGAUGCAUAGCCGACCUGAGAGGGUGAUCGGCCACAUUGGGACUGAGACACGGCCCAAACUCCUACGGGAGGCAGCAGUAGGGAAUCUUCGGCAAUGGACGAAAGUCUGACCGAGCAACGCCGCGUGAGUGAAGAAGGUUUUCGGAUCGUAAAACUCUGUUGUUAGAGAAGAACAAGGAUGAGAGUAACUGUUCAUCCCUUGACGGUAUCUAACCAGAAAGCCACGGCUAACUACGUGCCAGCAGCCGCGGUAAUACGUAGGUGGCAAGCGUUGUCCGGAUUUAUUGGGCGUAAAGCGAGCGCAGGCGGUUUCUUAAGUCUGAUGUGAAAGCCCCCGGCUCAACCGGGGAGGGUCAUUGGAAACUGGGAGACUUGAGUGCAGAAGAGGAGAGUGGAAUUCCAUGUGUAGCGGUGAAAUGCGUAGAUAUAUGGAGGAACACCAGUGGCGAAGGCGGCUCUCUGGUCUGUAACUGACGCUGAGGCUCGAAAGCGUGGGGAGCAAACAGGAUUAGAUACCCUGGUAGUCCACGCCGUAAACGAUGAGUGCUAAGUGUUGGAGGGUUUCCGCCCUUCAGUGCUGCAGCUAACGCAUUAAGCACUCCGCCUGGGGAGUACGACCGCAAGGUUGAAACUCAAAGGAAUUGACGGGGGCCCGCACAAGCGGUGGAGCAUGUGGUUUAAUUCGAGGCAACGCGAAGAACCUUACCAGGUCUUGACAUCCUUUGACCACUCUAGAGAUAGAGCUUCCCCUUCGGGGGCAAAGUGACAGGUGGUGCAUGGUUGUCGUCAGCUCGUGUCGUGAGAUGUUGGGUUAAGUCCCGCAACGAGCGCAACCCUUAUUGUUAGUUGCCAUCAUUUAGUUGGGCACUCUAGCAAGACUGCCGGUGACAAACCGGAGGAAGGUGGGGAUGACGUCAAAUCAUCAUGCCCCUUAUGACCUGGGCUACACACGUGCUACAAUGGGAAGUACAACGAGUCGCAAAGUCGCGAGGCUAAGCUAAUCUCUUAAAGCUUCUCUCAGUUCGGAUUGUAGGCUGCAACUCGCCUACAUGAAGCCGGAAUCGCUAGUAAUCGCGGAUCAGCACGCCGCGGUGAAUACGUUCCCGGGCCUUGUACACACCGCCCGUCACACCACGAGAGUUUGUAACACCCGAAGUCGGUGAGGUAACCUUUUGGAGCCAGCCGCCUAAGGUGGGAUAGAUGAUUGGGGUG
rnacentral:rRNA from 1 species